rnacentral:sRNA from 1 species
AGGGAUCAGACGCAAGGUGCCAGCCGGGUGGAGACUUUCCUGCCUUUCCUGCCUUGACUGCGUAUGUUUUUCCUCCUUGUUCCCCAGCCUUGAAAUCAGGAAUAUCACGUGGAGCGGGACCCACCGCCAUGUAUCAUGUAUCAUGUAUCAUGUAUCAUAGCUGGGUUUGACCACUGUUUGCGCCGCCACAGAGGUUUUUCUCCGUUUUUUUUUUUGACCCCGUGGCCUACAGAGGCUUUGUAUUACGCAGUGAUUAUUGAGCGAUUACGCAUCCGUUCUAUCCUGUCAUUAUUACUGUUGAGGAUGAGAAAAGGAAAGGUGAUGGUAGAAGCGGGAUGCUUUGUUGGGAUUGUUGAUCAUGACCAUGAAUGCAUAAGGUAACUGCGGCAGCUUGGCCCAACUAUCGCCAGGGAGAAUGAACACCCAC